GCCUUCUUAGAUUAGGGGUAGGGCGUUCGCUUCGUAAGCGGAAGGUCGCCGGUCCGAUUCCGGCAGAAGGCU
rfam:Gregarina niphandrodes unplaced genomic scaffold scaffold00106, whole genome shotgun sequence.